AUAAGAUAAUAUGUAUACGGGAAAGAGAUAUUCAGUUCUAGACGAAUGUAAUAUUUUUUGUCUUACUGAAUUCGUUUUCGCUUUUCUAGCCUGAGAAGUGGCCAAGCGGUCUUCAUAUGUUUGCUCUUUUUUUUUUGCCUUGAGGUUAUGUGAUCACAUCUAUGGUUUAAUAACGGAACAGCAUGCACCACAAUAUUUUUAACAGGUUGCUAUUGUUGUUAUUAUUAGUAUUGUAUUUACUGUCAUUACUAUUACUGUUUGUUUUUUUUUUUUCAACUUCACUCUGGCUAAGCGUUUUGCUGUGUUUCCAUUAAUGAACAAUUGAAUCUUUGAUCAGGAAAUUUAAAAUUUCAUAGAGCUUCUGGGGCAAUAAAACUCUACUUUGGGAAAAGCGAAGAGAAGUUUUCGUGACCUUAUGCUUGGGUUGAUAUAUCAAUUUUUUUAUCAAUCGCAUUCCGAUUGCAUAUGUUUACAUUUUUGACUCGCCAUCAGUAAAGACUUAAGCCUGCGUAUACUACCAGUACAUAAGGAUUAAGUGGCAUUGUGAAAGUAUUAUAAACUCAAAAUUUUUCAUAGCGUUUGGAUGCACUUUUGAUUCACCACCUUCGAUAACAGGCCAUUUCAUUUUCCACUUCGUGUAAUGCAGUCACGGCCAGAAAGAAGAAGAAGAAGUUACGAAAGGUAAUGACAUAGGGAGAUCGCCCCAGCCUAGUGGAUCUGUGUAUCCAAUCGGUAAGUUUUCUGCCUUUAUCGACUUAUAUAUACGAUCACUACAAUCACGAUCAAGUAAAGCUUUAACGCACUGAGAUUUGAAUACGCGAAUACUAAUUUGUUAAUCGCGUUUCUUACCUACUCGGCUGCGGUUGCGGAAUCUUGCAUUUUAGGCAACUGAUCGAACACAAGUAAUUGAAAUACUUAUUGGCGGAGAAUUCAGCUCAAGCUCUCAAAGAACUUACGAACAACUUAGCAGCUGAUGAAGCAUUUCGAAUCGUUCCAGCAUCGCGGUUUCAUUAUUUGCCAGGCAAAGAAAGAAGUGGCGUGUUGUGGAUGACAAAGACAAGUUGAUCUACUAGAAUGAUCCCAAGCGCAAAAGCGCGUGGGUUAGUCCAGGAGAGCCAUCCACAUCGACAUCGAAGCUAAAUAUUCAUCGAUGUCAUACUAACAUCGAUUCAUAUACAUUGCACCAAUUUAUCGCAACAAAUGGCUUUUUGAAGUGUAAAAAUGAUCAGAAUACAUGCAAGCAUUUACUAAUUCAGAACAAAGACGUCAAAAAUUGCGUUAUUCAAAUGAAAUUUGAAAUUUUCAAAUGAAUUUGAUUUGAGUGAUGUGUUUACAGAAGAACUCUAUGAAUAUUGCGGCCAUUAAUCGCAAAGUAAUUGUCGUAGCUAUGAGAAAAAAUUUAUGCUUAUUUCUUACGCCAUUUGAUGAACACGCAAAUGGGUUUUGAUUUAUCGCUAACGAUGAUGUUAUGCGCUGCCUGCCGUACUUAAUAUUGCACGUAAUACGACACAAAUUCUCUAAAACGCAUUUUUUGCACAAUCUGAAAGUGACGUCAGUACUUGUGUAGUUUUAUAGGAACUGAGAAAUAAAAUUUAUCAAAAAAAAA